UGUGGGAUGCAACAUUUUCGAAAAAUGUGUGACGUUUCAAAGGCUUUUAUUUGAUUCCUAUAUAAACCCUUGAUAGAUGUCAACCUUCACAGAAGGUGAGGUUUGCAAUAUCCCAGACGUUGAACCGGACUAUAUUUGAAGACACGGAAAUAAUACAACAUUUAAAAGAAAGGAGGAUAAACUCUUUCCCAUUUUAUUAUCUUUUCAUUUGGGAUUAAAAGAAAAACAGGAUGGGUAUCAAACGGAUCAUAUCACUCGCCCUGAUUCUAAUAGUGGUAUCGACAACUGCUGAUGUAGCUGCAACAACAACAGCAGCACCUACAACUACUGCUGCUCCAACAACGGUGCCACCUACAACUACUGCCGCACCUACAACUGCAGCCCCUACUACUGUUGCAACAACAACAGCAGC